AUAGAUAUAAUUUUUGAUGUCAAGCACUGCUUACAGGAAUUUGUUGGGAUGGCUAAGGAUCUUAACGCUAUUGUGAUUGCUUUCAGAGGCACUCAGGAACGCAGCUUACAGAAUUGGAUUGAAGACCUGUACUGGAAGCAACUCGACUUAAAUUACCCUGGCAUGCCUGACGCAAUGGUGUGUUGCAAUAAACUUUGACUGGAUACAUGA